UUCGUGCAGAGUCCAGUGAAGAAGGCAGAGGGAAAGAAUCUGCUGCAGAGCAUGGACACAGCAAGGGUACCUGCUGCUGCCCAGUAACCUCCACAGGGAGUUUCCAAAAUGAGCUCUGGAUGUAUUCACUACAGCUCUCCCACCUAUGAAAAUCACCAACAGCAUGCAUGGACCUGCUAGAAGUGUGGCUAGGUCACCUGGUGAGAGCAAGCAUUUCUUGGCUAGAGGCUCGUGGCUAGAGUUUCAUUACACACAAAGGCCAAUGACUGUGUAACAUCUUUGGAAAAUAUUGUCGAGGACAAUCCAUCAUGGAACAGACUUUUGGAUUAUUUGUUUUGGCUGUCAUCUUUCUACUACUACUAUGAACACAAAGAAUACUUCACUUAGUCCCAGCUAGAAAUGAAUACAAAUUUUAAAAAUCACUAACUUAUUAUACAAUGUGUUACAAAUUACAGUCUGAGACAUAUUCCAUGCCCCAAACUGUUUUUGACAGGGUCACAGUGGAGCACACAUUUUAGUCUGGAAACUCAAGUAGAACCUGAAUGGCCUUUUCUUGCUUAAAUCAAUCUCACUUCUGGAGCCCUCGUCUUACUGAAUUCCACUGCAUGAGAUUUACAUGGCAGGCAGAAAAGCUGUCAAAUUAAUUCAAGGCUGGAGAGCUACAGAAAAUUGACAUGCAUGUGUCCUUGGUCAGAAAAUUCAGCAACAAUAAGACAUCACAAGGACUCUAGAGCUUCAAUCAAGUAAACAGCAUUACAUUUUAAUGGGCUUAUUAAGACUGUGCUUGAGGAAAGAGGGAGAUAACCUACAGGUGAAUUAUAAAUAUACAGGAAAAUUAGUAUGGCAUUAUACAUGUAAAGAGCUAGUCAAGUGUUUAGUCUUUUAAAAUGCAUUUCAAUGGAAGGAUGAUAUGCAGAUGAAUAAAAUUCAAGCUAACCUGUUUCCUGAAGGCUAUUUCCUAUAAGAGAAUCAUCAAAUGAACCUGAGGACAAGUAAAGACAGACUUUUGAGAACUGAAGCAUGAAAACAUUGAAUGGAAGCAU